rnacentral:rRNA from 1 species
CACGCACGUUGAAAAGUGCGGGGAUGAGGUGUGGGUAGCGGAGAAAUUCCAAUCGAACUUGGAGAUAGCUGGUUCUCUCCGAAAUAGCUUUAGGGCUAGCCUCGAGGUAAAGAGUCAUGGAGGUAGAGCACUGUUUGGACUAGGGGCCCUUCUCGGGUUACCGAAUUCAGAUAAACUCCGAAUGCCAUGUACUUAUACUCGGGAGUCAGACUGCGAGUGAUAAGAUCCGUAGUCGAAAGGGAAACAGCCCAGACCACCAGUUAAGGUCCCCAAAUAUAUGUUAAGUGGAAAAGGAUGUGGGGUUGCUUAGACAACCAGGAUGUUGGCUUAGAAGCAGCCACCAUUGAAAGAGUGCGUAAUAGCUCACUGGUCGAGUGACCCCGCGCCGAAAAUGUACCGGGGCUAAACAUAUUACCGAAACUGUGGAUGAACCUCUUUAGAGGUUCGUGGUAGGAGAGCGUUCUAAGGGCGGUGAAGUCAGACCGGAAGGACUGGUGGAGCGCUUAGAAGUGAGAAUGCCGGUAUGAGUAGCGAAAGAAGGGUGAGAAUCCCUUCCACCGAAUAUCUAAGGUUUCCUGAGGAAGGCUCGUCCGCUCAGGGUUAGUCGGGACCUAAGCCGAGGCCGAUAGGCGUAGGCGAUGGACAACAGGUAGAGAUUCCUGUACCAGUGCUAAUUGUUUAACCGAUGGGGUGACACAGAAGGAUAGGGAAUCGCACGAAUGGAAAUGUGCGUCCAAGCAGUGAGUGUGAGAAGUAGGCAAAUCCG